rnacentral:rRNA from 1 species
UACAGAGGGGGCAAGCGUUAUUCGGAAUUAUUGGGCGUAAAGGGCGCGUAGGCGGCUUGGCAAGUGGAGGGUGAAAUCCCUCGGCUUAACCGAGGAACUGCCUUCCAGACUGCUUUGCUUGAGGCCGGGAGAGGUGAGUGGAAUUCCCAGUGUAGCGGUGAAAUGCGUAGAUAUCGAGAGGAACACCUGCGGCGAAGGCGGGUUGCUGGGCUGACACUGACGCUGAGGCGCGAAAGCUAGGGGAGCGAACGGG